GAGUUUGAUCAUGGCUCAGGAUGAACGCUAGCGGCAGGCUUAACACAUGCAAGUCGAGGGGUAGAGUAGCAAUACUUGAGACCGGCGCACGGGUGCGUAACGCGUAUGCAACCUACCUUUUACAGAGGGAUAGCCCAGAGAAAUUUGGAUUAAUACCUCAUAGUAUAUGUCUUUCGCAUGUUAGACAUAUUAAAGUUCCAACGGUAAAAGAUGGGCAUGCGUCCUAUUAGCUAGAUGGUAAGGUAACGGCUUACCAUGGCAACGAUAGGUAGGGGUCCUGAGAGGGAGAUCCCCCACACUGGUACUGAGACACGGACCAGACUCCUACGGGAGGCAGCAGUGAGGAAUAUUGGACAAUGGGCGCAAGCCUGAUCCAGCCAUGCCGCGUG
rnacentral:rRNA from 1 species